rnacentral:rRNA from 1 species
AGGGUUUGAUUAUGGCUCAGGACGAACGCUGGCGGCGCGCCUAACACAUGCAAGUCGAACGAGCGAGAGGAGUUUUACUUUCUCAAGCGAGUGGCGAACGGGUGAGUAACGCGUGAGGAACCUGCCUCAAAGAGGGGGACAACAGUUGGAAACGACUGCUAAUACCGCAUAAGCCCACGACCCGGCAUCGGGUAGAGGGAAAAGGAGCAAUCCGCUUUGAGAUGGCCUCGCGUCCGAUUAGCUAGUUGGUGAGGUAAUGGCCCACCAAGGCGACGAUCGGUAGCCGGACUGAGAGGUUGAACGGCCACAUUGGGACUGAGACACGGUCCAG